rnacentral:snRNA from 1 species
AUAUUUUCCUGGGCAGGGAAGAUACCUUGAUCACAAAGGUAGUUUUACUAGGACAAGGCUGACACACUGGAUUGCUGGCUUCUGUGAUUUUUGCUGAAUUUAAACUUGUAUACAUAAUUUGUGAUAAUGGGGGACAAUGUUUGCACUUUCCUCAA